rnacentral:rRNA from 1 species
ACGGGAGGCAGCAGUGGGGAAUAUUGCACAAUGGGGGAAACCCUGACCCAGCAACGCCGCGUGAAGGAAGAAGGCCUUCGGGUUGUAAACUUCUUUUAGAUAGGACGAACAAAUGACGGUACUAUCAGAAAAAGCAACGGCUAACUACGUGCCAGCAGCCGCGGUAAUACGUAGGUUGCAAGCGUUGUCCGGAUUUACUGGGUGUAAAGGGCGUGUAGGCGGAGCUGCAAGUCAGAUGUGAAAUCCCGGGGCUCAACCCCGGAACUGCAUUUGAAACUGUAGCCCUUGAGUAUCGGAGAGGCAAGCGGAAUUCCUAGUGUAGCGGUGAAAUGCGUAGAUAUUAGGAGGAACACCAGUGGCGAAGGCGGCUUGCUGGACGACAACUGACGCUGAGGCGCGAAAGCGUGGGGAGCAAACAGGAUUAGAUACCCUGGUA